GACGAACGCUGGCGGCGUGCUUAACACAUGCAAGUCGAACGAAGUGGCGAACGGGUGAGUAACGCGUAAUAAACCUGCCCUUCAGAGGGGGACAACAGUUGGAAACGACUGCUAAUACCGCAUACGGAAGGAGGGGAUUGCGUCUGAUUGGCUAGUUGGAGGGGGAACGGCCAACCAAGGCGAUGAUCAGUAGCCGGGCUGAGAGGAUGAACGGCCCAAUUGGGACUGGGACACGGCUCAGACUCCUUCGGGAGGCAGCAGUGGGGAAUCUUCCGAAAUGGACGAAAGGCUGACGGAGCAACGCCGCGUGAGUGAUGACGGCCUUCGGGUUGUAAAGCUCUGUUAAGCGGGACGCGGUACCGGAAUAGAAAGCCACGGCUAACUACGUGCCAGCCGCCGCGGUAAUAC
rnacentral:rRNA from 1 species